GGCCACGUCUUGUUGGGUUUUUAUUGGGGAGGGAGAAUAAUAAGAAGACAGAGAAGCAGGCACUCACGCAACCCUCUCUCACCGCCGUCUCAUCUCCUCCGCGGCUCCGCCGCCUUCGCCUCCCCUCCCCUCCCACCUCAGCGCCGCUGCCUCUGUCUGCUCCGCCUCGCUCUCCUCCGUCCCUUCACGCGCCACGCCGCCUCCACAGGGUCCAGCCUCCACCGGAGCCGAUCUCUCCGCUGAGCACGCCCCGCGCCGCCGUUGCUGCCAAGGGCUCCUCGGGGCCGUUGCAGCCGGGGAGGCGGCCUGCAGGAGGGCCCUAAAUGCGGCUGACGACUCCAUCCCCGGUCGCAUGUGGCGGCAGCCAGCCCAGCUCCGCCUCUUCCAGCCCAUCUUCUUGGGCAUCAUUGGUAGUGAAGAAGGACUCUUGCAGCUGCGAAAUAUUAGAAGAGGAAAAUCUUAUGGUUUGAAGGGUUCAGAUCCAUAAUCUGAUAAUAUUAGGACCCUUGAUCCUUCAACCAUUAUGAGAUUUCAAGGCAGAUAGUGCAACUUGUACUGUUUACCUUGAUUAAAUCAAUGCCUUCUGUAGCUUAAGGUUUAAUUAGCAGACUACUAAUGCUUUGAUAUUCUCCUUUCUGAAUUCCAUACUUGGUACAACAAUGUUCCUCACCCGGUCACCCCAAACUGGUGGAAUAUAAGAACGAUCGGAACUGGGACACAAUGUCCGGUGACUAUCUUGUUUUCCCUGGAGGCGGGACUCAAUUCAAAUAUGAUGUUGCAAGAUACAUACAGUUUGUAGAACAGGCACAAAAAAUCCUGUGCUACAAAGGCUAGCUUCAUAGUGUCCAUGGCAUGUUGAUGGCUAGCUCUACUGCGUGUAAAAACCCGGAAUCCAAUCAUUUUUUCUCUUUUCUAGAAAGACAAGAACAAUAUCCAGUGUGAUUCUCUUCUUAUGUACCAGCUACACCGUGGAGCUCGAAGGCUGCUGCUAUUACUUCUUGCGCCAUUAUUUGGCAACCUACUGCUGCAGUCUCCAGAGAUGACACCAUUAGUAUGGGUCAGUUGCAUUGGUGACGCUGAGCACAAAGCUAUGAAUCCACUCCCUUUUGCUCUGGACUGUGUUUGGUUAUGGCGUAAACUGGCUAUCUCGACAACAUUUAUGCUGAAGUUAUCGACCCUCCAAAGAAUGGGAUGUUAGAUGUCAUAGAACUUGUCUGUGGUGUUAUCAAGCAUUCACGGAAUCCAAAUGUCAUGGUUUCUAGAAAUGGGCGUGAGCUAUUGGAAUGCCCCAUGUGUUUGGUUCCCAUGUAUCCUCCAAUUCAUCAGUGCUCCAAUGUCCAUGCUAUUUGUUCUGAAUGCAAGCCAAGGGUUCAUAAAUGCUUUGGAGAAGGUUGGCGCCUCUCUAGAGGUUCUGUACAAGUUCCAGAACUUUGGAUGCUUGGGAAUAUAUCCUUAUUAUUGCAAGUUGAAACAUGAAUCAGAGUGUCAAUACAGACCAUAUACUGGCCCACAUGCAGGUUUUAAAUUUUUGUGGAUUUAUGUGAUGGAAUCUUGACAUGUCGAGAAUGCGUCGAGAAAAUGCAACAUGACUUGUUGUUUGAAGUUACAACCUUACAGGGGCAUCGACUCAAAUUUGCAACGACGAAUUUUAUACCAUGCUUGUGUAGCUCAGUCUGUGGCGGGCGAGGCGUGGGAGGUGACGAUGACGAAUGAUAUGGUGGUCAGCAGAUAAAAGAAGCCGUUCAUCUCCAUUGCCCAGUUGGGGCCUCUUAGGGGACUAAUCUAGCAUCGGGCGUUACAGGAGGAGAGACGCUCUCAUGGAUUAGGAUGUUGCACAUCAUUGACGGGUCAUUCCAUGGAUUAGGAUGUUGCACAUCAUCGACGGGUCAUUCCAUGGAUUAGGAUGUUGCACAUCAUCGACGGGUCAUUCCGCAUGCUGCUCUUGUUGAUUUGUUCUUGACAUAUCCUCUGUGGUGUUGUUCCUUUUGAAUCACUUGGUGGUUUAUAUUAGCAAGUACUAUCAUUUGGUCACUUUUGAACCACCGAUAUUGUAUGCGAUCAGUCCUCUAAACAAUAAAACUAUUGCUUUUGUGUAGUAUAUAUGAUGUCAUUAUUAUUCUUUUAA